rnacentral:rRNA from 1 species
AAAUUGAAGAGUUUGAUCAUGGCUCAGAUUGAACGCUGGCGGCAGGCCUAACACAUGCAAGUCGAACGGUAACAGGAAACAGCUUGCUGCUUCGCUGACGAGUGGCGGACGGGUGAGUAAUGUCUGGGAAACUGCCUGAUGGAGGGGGAUAACUACUGGAAACGGUAGCUAAUACCGCAUAACGUCGCAAGACCAAAGAGGGGGAC